UGAGAGGGGAAACAAAUUAACAAAGGUACUCCAAAAUUUUAAAAAAUAUAUUUAGUAAUUAUAUCGUAUAAAUAUAGUUUGACUGAGCACAGCGCAUACGCCUGGACGAUUUUUAUACGUGCAUAGUUUUAUAUUUUAAUAAAUGAUAGUAUUUGUUUUAAAUUGGCCUAGUUUUAUAUUUUUUCGACGAAUACAGAAAAUUAUACUUAAGGCUCAAAUGGCUCAUUAGAACUCUGUUAACGCUACUCCUCUAACACCUCUUGCUGUUCGUCCAACACCUCUUACGUAUUCACUCGGAUGACAUUGAAAAUUAAACAACACCACAUGAUCAACACCAGUGAA
rnacentral:lncRNA from 1 species